rnacentral:rRNA from 1 species
UACGGAGGGUGCAAGCGUUAUCCGGAUUCACUGGGUUUAAAGGGUGCGUAGGCGGGCAGGUAAGUCCGUGGUGAAAUCUCUGAGCUUAACUCAGAAACUGCCAUGGAUACUAUUUGUCUUGAAUAUUGUGGAGGUGAGCGGAAUAUGCCAUGUAGCGGUGAAAUGCUUAGAUAUGACAUAGAACACCCAUUGCGAAGGCAGCUCACUACACAAUGAUUGACGCUGAGGCACGAAAGCGUGGGGAUCAAACAGG